AAAACGGCCCUUUUUAGGGCCACCAAAUCUCUAAAAGAAUUAUAA
rnacentral:ncRNA from 1 species